GAAAGAAAGAAAGAAAGAAAGAAAGAAAGAAAGAAAGAUCAAGAUAGAGGUCUGGGAGGAAGUACAGAAGAAGAAUGCAGGAGUUGCAAGCAUUCUUGGUCCUGAAUCUGAAUCCAGACAUCAAAUAUGCCAGAGUGGUGCUCUGGUUCUUUUUCUUUCAUAAAAAAGUUCAAAAAGAACUUGAGACACCUUAAACACACAAAAUGUGUAAUGAAGAUAGAACAGUAGGAACUCAUAAAAAAAACUCUAAAUUUACUUGCUUCCAGUUCAAAAUAAGUCUAGAAGCCUAGAUGUAAACCAUACGGCAACCUCCAAACAGAAAUAUCAAGAAGAAAAAGAACAAGGAGAGUCACAACCCAGGGUCUGUUGGGGACACUGGCCCGAGCAAUAUCACAUGAUCAUCUCAAGAGGAAGCCUGUGCAGUCAUGGUAGUUAAAGGUCUAGGGAAUAGUGUAUGCUUACUUCCGUGAGGAUCUGUAUGGUUCUGAUGGACAAGAUCCAAGAACACUUUGCUCUGACCUUUGGACUUGUUCACACGAGUUGUAUAGAAAUCAUUGGCAGACAGGCAAGGUUAUUUUGACCUCAAGUGCAGGCUGCAGCUGGGCGAAGGGAAAGUCAACAAAAGCUCUUGUUGUGUCUUCACUACUUUACUUGAGUUGAACUUUGGACAAUGUGCUAACAUCUUUUGAUAAGUUCAGAAAUAAAGUCACUGUGAUUGCUUCACUAUAUACGUUGAGCUCUGUGGAAAUAAAGCAUCAGAUGAUCAAUCCAGUCCUUCUGUGCCCUGUCAUUAUUUUGCCCUCUUCUCAAGGACCGUUUGGCUUUACCCAGGACCGGUCAUUUUGGCACCCAAACUGAGACCCUGAGCACAGACAGUUCUGGAAUGAACAGUACCAGACUGAAGCAUCCCCCUGCAAGUGGGGAGCAUGGCUUGGACCUGGGUCCUCAGUGAUGGUAACGUGUAGCUGGGUGUGUCAACGCCUGAUCCUCCAGGAGGAAGCUGCAGAUGAUAAUACAAUGCCAUCCUGACUUUCCUGGGAAGACAACCUCACCAAUGUGUCUCAGAACCUCACCUCUCCAGAGCUCUACCCCACUAGGGAAAAACAGAAACAGGCUGGAGUAUGGAUCAACUUGCAGAGAAGCAGUCUCAGAAGCCAGACCUUCCACUUUCUUCACUCCAUAAAUAAUUUUGGUCUAUAUUCCCAGAGGGAUAAAGAAUAGGGAAGUUUCAGUAAGUGUGGGGUAGAUAGCAUAAUGGUUAUGCAAACAGGCUCUCAUGCCUGGGGCUCUAAAGUCCUAGGUUAAUUCCACUGCACCACCAUAAGUCAGAGCUGAGCAGUUCUCUGGUUAAUAUGAGAGCUACUCUCUUCCCUGAUCCAGCUUUCUGGUCCUUUUUCCAGCCAUGACAUCAUCUCCCCAGAUGAUAACUUGGAUCCACUUGCAUAUUAGAUGUCAGGCUCAAAAAACAAAAAGCAAACAAACAAACCUAGUAUAGUCAUGGGCCCUUUGGAAUAUAACUAAAAUAGGAUUACUAUCUACAAAAUGGAGGACCCCCCCCCCAAAUCAUCAUCUGAACCAUUACAGCCUUUAGGUUCAUGAUUAGUCAACAAUUUGAAGUGUCUUGGAGCCCCACCCCACUAGGGAAAGAGAGAGACGGGACUAUGGAUCCACCUGUCAAAACCCAUGUUUAGCAGGGAAGCAAUUACAGAAGCCAGACCUUUCACCUUCUGCACCCCAUAAUGACCCUGGGUAAAAGAAAAGGAAAAGUAUCAGGUGAGGAGGGGAUGGGAUACAGAGUUCUGGUGAUGAGAAUUGUGUAGAGUUGUACCCUUCUUAUCCUAUGUUUUUUGUCAGUGUUUCUUUUUUAUAAAUAAAAAUUAAAAAAAAUAAAAAUAAAUAAAUAAAUAAAGAAGCUUCAAAUGGAGGGGAUGGGACAUGGAACAAAGGUGGUAGCAACUGUAUGGAAUUACACCCCUGUUAUCCUAUAACCUUGUUAAUAAUUAGCAAAUUACUAAGAAAAAAAAUAAUUUCACAUGAAAAUCAGCAAAGUAUGUACAAACUAUUGUAUUUACUAUUGACUGUAAAACAUUAACUCCCCCCAGCAAAGAAAUUAAAAAAAUGAAAACCUGGACUUCCGGAGGCGGAGCUACGAGCAGCAGAUCGCUUUCUCUCCUCUACUCUCCUCUCCUUUCCCGGAUCAACUAGGAAUACCAAAGGAGACCACCCGGGACCAAAACAAGACAGGACUAGAAUGACCACAGGAACCCAGUAAAUCACUGGUGAGUACAAACACGUGUGGCUGGUGACAGAGAGGAGAGAGGGGCCUAAGGAGAGAUUAAGUGACUGCUAACAGUUCAGCAGUUUAUCAGUGGAGACACCACCUCCAGUCUGCUCCACCAACAAGGGGACAGCUUAAGGGAGGAGAGGACUCCCCAGAGACUCACCAAGUGCAACUCUGAGUAUCCAUUGCUACUACCCUCAGAAUCUGGAGCAGCGGCAGGGAGGGA